rnacentral:rRNA from 1 species
UACGUAGGGGGCUAGCGUUGUUCGGAUUUACUGGGCGUAAAGCGCACGUAGGCGGUUCGUUAAGUGAGGGGUGAAAUCCCAGGGCUCAACCCUGGAACUGCCUUUCAUACUGGCGAUCUUGAGUCCGGAAGAGGUGAGUGGAACUCCUAGUGUAGAGGUGGAAUUCGUAGAUAUUAGGAAGAACACCAGUGGCGAAGGCGGCUCACUGGUCCGGUACUGACGCUGAGGUGCGAAAGCGUGGGGAGCAAACAGG